GAUGAACGCUGGCGGCGUGCCUAAUACAUGCAAGUCGAGCGAACGGACGAGAAGCUUGCUUCUCUGAUGUUAGCGGCGGACGGGUGAGUAACACGUGGAUAACCUACCUAUAAGACUGGGAUAACUUCGGGAAACCGGAGCUAAUACCGGAUAAUAUUUUGAACCGCAUGGUUCAAAAGUGAAAGACGGUCUUGCUGUCACUUAUAGAUGGAUCCGCGCUGCAUUAGCUAGUUGGUAAGGUAACGGCUUACCAAGGCAACGAUGCAUAGCCGACCUGAGAGGGUGAUCGGCCACACUGGAACUGAGACACGGUCCAGACUCCUACGGGAGGCAGCAGUAGGGAAUCUUCCGCAAUGGGCGAAAGCCUGACGGAGCAACGCCGCGUGAGUGAUGAAGGUCUUCGGAUCGUAAAACUCUGUUAUUAGGGAAGAACAUAUGUGUAAGUAACUGUGCACAUCUUGACGGUACCUAAUCAGAAAGCCACGGCUAACUACGUGCCAGCAGCCGCGGUAAUACGUAGGUGGCAAGCGUUAUCCGGAAUUAUUGGGCGUAAAGCGCGCGUAGGCGGUUUUUUAAGUCUGAUGUGAAAGCCCACGGCCCAACCGUGGAGGGUCAGUGGAAACUGGAAAACUUGAGUGCAGAAGAGGAAAGUGGAAUUCCAUGUGUAGCGGUGAAAUGCGCAGAGAUAUGGAGGAACACCAGUGGCGAAGGCGACUUUCUGGUCUGUAACUGACGCUGAUGUGCGAAAGCGUGGGGAUCAAACAGGAUUAGAUACCCUGGUAGUCCACGCCGUAAACGAUGAGUGCUAAGUGUUAGGGGGUUUCCGCCCCUUAGUGCUGCAGCUAACGCAUUAAGCACUCCGCCUGGGGAGUACGACCGCAAGGUUGAAACUCAAAGGAAUUGACGGGGACCCGCACAAGCGGUGGAGCAUGUGGUUUAAUUCGAAGCAACGCGAAGAACCUUACCAAAUCUUGACAUCCUUUGACAACUCUAGAGAUAGAGCCUUCCCCUUCGGGGGACAAAGUGACAGGUGGUGCAUGGUUGUCGUCAGCUCGUGUCGUGAGAUGUUGGGUUAAGUCCCGCAACGAGCGCAACCCUUAAGCUUAGUUGCCAUCAUUAAGUUGGGCACUCUAAGUUGACUGCCGGUGACAAACCGGAGGAAGGUGGGGAUGACGUCAAAUCAUCAUGCCCCUUAUGAUUUGGGCUACACACGUGCUACAAUGGACAAUACAAAGGGCAGCGAAACCGCGAGGUCAAGCAAAUCCCAUAAAGUUGUUCUCAGUUCGGAUUGUAGUCUGCAACUCGACUACAUGAAGCUGGAAUCGCUAGUAAUCGUAGAUCAGCAUGCUACGGUGAAUACGUUCCCGGGUCU
rnacentral:rRNA from 1 species